AAAUUGAAGAGUUUGAUCAUGGCUCAGAUUGAACGCUGGCGGCAGGCCUAACACAUGCAAGUCGAGCGGUAGCACAGAGAGCUUGCUCUCGGGUGACGAGCGGCGGACGGGUGAGUAAUGUCUGGGAAACUGCCUGAUGGAGGGGGAUAACUACUGGAAACGGUAGCUAAUACCGCAUAACGUCGCAAGACCAAAGUGGGGGACCUUCGGGCCUCAUGCCAUCAGAUGUGCCCAGAUGGGAUUAGCUAGUAGGUGGGGUAACGGCUCACCUAGGCGACGAUCCCUAGCUGGUCUGAGAGGAUGACCAGCCACACUGGAACUGAGACACGGUCCAGACUCCUACGGGAGGCAGCAGUGGGGAAUAUUGCACAAUGGGCGCAAGCCUGAUGCAGCCAUGCCGCGUGUGUGAAGAAGGCCUUCGGGUUGUAAAGCACUUUCAGCGGGGAGGAAGGCGGUGAGGUUAAUAACCUCA
rnacentral:rRNA from 2 species